GGCUGGUCUGAAGGUAGUGAGUUAUUCAUUGCUCAAAAUUAUUAGACUCCUGUUCUAUAGUUUCCUGUCUCACUACUGCACCUGACCUACUUUAA
rnacentral:Y_RNA from 1 species